rnacentral:rRNA from 1 species
AUAUUAUUAAGCGGAGGAAAAGAAACUAACAAGGAUUCCCCUAGUAACGGCGAGUGAAGCGGGAAGAGCUCAACUUUAAAAUCCGGGCGCAAGCUCCGAAUUGUAGUUUAGAGAAGCGUUUUCGGUGACGAUAUUGGCCCAAGUCCCUUGGAACAGGGUAUCAUAGAGGGUGAGAAUCCCGUCUUUGGCUAAUUUUGCCGUCGCUAUGUGAGGCGCUUUCGACGAGUCGGGUUGUCUGGGACUACAGCCCAAAAUGGGUGGUAAAUUUCAUCUAAAGCUAAAUAUUGGUACGAGACCAUAGCGCACAAGUA